UUAAACUGAAGAGUUUGAUCAUGGCUCAGAUUGAACGCUGGCGGCAGGCCUAACACAUGCAAGUCGAGCGGCAGCGGGAUCUAGCUUGCUAGAUCGCCGGCGAGCGGCGGACGGGUGAGUAACGCGUGGGAAU
rnacentral:rRNA from 1 species